ensembl:lncRNA
GGCAGAGCUCCCUCCUACCUUUUUUCUUUCUUUCUUUCCUUUUUUUUUUUUUUUUUUUUUUUUUUUUUUUAAAUAAGAAAUUAAAACACUGUCAGACAAGAACAUCUGAACCGUUCCCAGAGAGGGAAUAGUCAAUAAGGAAGACUGCAACAAAGGAAAGCAGCAACUUACACAAAAUAUUCACGUGUAACAGAAUAAAAAGUGUCAUGUAAUUGGAAUUGUUCUGCAAUCUAAUCCUAAUAUGAAAAAUCCACAUUCAGUAUCAUUGCUUCAGUCUGGCAUCAGCAAUAGGGGGGGGUGGGGGAGAUAUGGAAACCCCAUAUAAUUCAGUUAGUACUCCAGUAUUCUUCUUUGAAGCAUUUGCAAAAGAUUAAACUAUUUUGGUCUCCUCUAAGCACAUAAGGUACAGGGAAUAGCUCUUCCUUUCCCCAUUAAGUUAUAAAAUAUUCAAGUUCUAUUGUGCCUAGAGAUGAGAAUUUUCCUUAGUCCAUAUGUUUGCAAUACUUUGACUUAAUCAGAACAAUGAUGCUCAAGGAGAUUCUGUGAUCAGAAACCUGUUCAACAAGAGGCAGCAUGCUAAUAAGUUAUCAGGUAAGUCACAACAUGAGUAUUUAUACAUACACAAAGCAGUAUCACUCAACUUCUGUUAUUUACUGUUGCUUUUGCCCACACAACUUGCAAAGCGUUAACUCUGUAGCUGAUGCCCAGCUUUUCAGUUUAUGCAGGCACAGACUAGAUGAAAAACUAUUUCUAGGAGGAAUAAGCUAAAGGACAUGCAUAAAAACAAAAUACACUUGAUCCUUCAACUUCCUGCAACUGAACAAAGAGUGUGUAUUAUAACAGAUGUUAGCACACCCUCUUUUUCCCAAGUGGAAUGAGAAGAGGACCAAAACAUGCAAAAAGGAGCAAUCCGCAACAGUAACAAAAAAAAUAAUCUUACAUUGUACAUUCAGUAAAUUUUAAACAACAGUGAAUCACAAGACUGUUAACUGUGCAUAAACCUUACCUACACAAAUUGUAAGGUAAAUAAGGUAAAGCUAAAUCCAUUCUACUUAAAGCUGCACUUAGAGUAAAACAUUAACAAUAUUUUUAAAAAUAGGCCUCCCAGAACAUUUCAUAAGACAAUAAAACCCAAGUUACAGCACUCUUCACUACUUCAGAUCCUAUUUUACCAUAGUGCACCCCUCUACUAAUCAUACGUACUCUACAAACCAAUGCCCAAAGAUAAAAAGGUCUUUCCUCAAGUCUCUGUAGUCCUUAGUAUACAUCUACCAUGCUGUAUACCUUGCUGUACCAGCAGAAUUGGAAGUUAGUUUGCCUAUAACAUUACUUCAGUCUUCUCAGGAAUAAAUAAAUAAAUAAAUAAAUGUUUCUAUCCACACAGGUACAACCCUCAGCUCACGUUUUUCCAAGAAAGUAUGGUCUAGAGUACAUAGAAGAAAAGUUAUUCUAUGACAGCUUGAGAAUCUGUGUCCACUUUUGGGCCCCUCACUGUAAGAAAGACAUCGAGGCCCUGAAGCACGUUCAAAGGGCAACAAAGCUGGUGAGGGGUCUGGAGCGCAGGCCUAAUGAGGAGCAGUUGAAGGAACUGGGAUUGUUCAGUCUAGAGAAGAGGAGGCUCAGGGGAUAAUUUAUUGCUCUCUAUAACUACCUGAAGAGAACUGGGGGCCAGCCUCUUCUCUCGUGUGACUAGUGAUAGGACUAGAGGGAAUGGCUUCAAGCUGCACCAGGGAAAAAUCAGGCUGGACGUUAGGAAAUACUACUUCUCUGAAAGGGUGGUCAGGCACUGGAAUGGGCUGCCCAGGGAGGUGGUGGAGUCACUGACCCUGGAGGUGUUGAAGGAACAUUUGGACACUGUGUUGAGGGACAUAGUUUAGUGAGAACUAUUGGUAAUGGGCGGAUGGUUGGACAGGGUAAUCCUGUGGGUCUUUUCCAACCCUGGUGAUUCUAUGAUUCUGUGAUGAUUCCAAGUUUCGUUCUGCACUGAGUUUUGCUCAGAGGGAUCUCAACUCUAUUUCUUCUAAUUUAGAGUCUUAAUUCCACAUUCAUGAAAUCUAAGUUAGGCAGUUAAAGGGGAAUGAUUCACUAGCACUGAAUCAGAAUUCAGUAAUUCAAAAUUGGGGCAAAUCUAGGCAGCUAGAAGUCAUUAAAGGCUUAAGUUUCCAUCAAUGCUGACUCUCAAAGACAUCUGUUCAGAAGCAGAAAUUUAGUAGCUACACCCUACCAGUGCUGAGUAGGUGACAUACCCCAUCGCAAGGUCCCACCUGAAUCCAUAGAAGUGAACCUACUAAAUCUCAAGUUCAGCCCAAAGUGCAAUAAUUUGGUCACAAGUAGGGAAGUAUCAAAGAAAACAGGUGCAAACAUCCUGAUUUAUUUUAAUACCACUAACACAUUCAAGAUGAGCAUUUGUUUGAAUAAUUCAAACUUUCCACAUCUCUCCUGAGGGAACAUGCAGGAUAUUAGUGCAUUUGCAAAGUGACAGGGCUUCACAAAGUCUUUAUGAGGUUAUCCCAACAUGUACUGUAACAGCUGGAGCAACUGGGCUGAGAGGGAGCAGAAUUUCACCAAGUUGAGGUACUAGAUGUCAAAACUGGAUGCCAGUCUUCUCCUACUGAUGAAGAAGUAUUUUGUCUUAACCUGCUAGCACAGACCUCAUUCUACACUAUAAACAAACAAAAUAGAGCUCUAACUUUCUACUGAAAGUCUGUGAGCCUCCCUAACUACCUCACGUGCUCUCCUUAUAAAUUAAGCAAUUUGCACCACUACACAGAUCGUUUAUGAACUUGGUAAUGAAAUUCACAACACUAGAAAUCAAUUUCCAACCUUAUGCUUCAUAAAAAUCACACUGCGUAAUUAUGUUAAUGUCCAUCUGCCUCUAAUAACUUGUUAACGGGUACUUCCUUGGUGUUACAGGUAUGGGAUAUCAGAAACACCUCAGUUACAUAAAAAGCCUCAAGUGGAAGUUGGAUUACUUUGGAUAACAAAACCAUCUGCAGUACAACUAGGUUUCAUGAUUCUGCUGCCCGUGAACUGCUUCCUGGGUUGUACUUCUAGUACACUACCCUACUUCAUAGUGAAUAAAUGAAACUAAUGUAUAGAGAUAGGCCUUGGUCCUCCUUAUUAAAUAAAUACAUCAUACCUACAGAGAUACGUAGGUACCACCAACUCUUACACCACAAUUUACUGCCACACAAAAAAACUGUAUUUGCUUCUAACAUAGGAACAAAGUCUUUUAUGAGCUGGAAUUGCGCCCAGCUAGUAAGCUGACUAGCUCAAGGCAUACCCUGAGAGACCAUCUCCGAAAACUGCAUUUAUUUCCUAGCUUGCCAAUAGCAUUAACAUACAUUUCAUGGAAGCUAUUUAUUACAUGUGAGCAAAUAUCUACUUUGGCUCUUACAAAGCCAUUGUACAAACAGGAAUUAGAUAUUACAGCAUGUAAACACUUCGAGAGUUUGGCCUACUGUUAAUCACUUUGUGUUUCAGAGCACUGUAAAGACAAUGCAGGCAUGUAAGCUUAAGCUCAAGUUUCAGCAGAAUUUAUGUGUGCUUCUUAGAAAUAGCAAGGACAAAAAAAAAAAACACAAACAAAACCUGGAAAGACCUUAGAAGGUCUCCACGAUUCCUGUAAAUAGUACUCCUGUAAAAGUAUUCCAGCCUUCUCUGCCAGUGCAAUUCCUGGAUGACUUCAAAAUAUGUAUCUAUACAAAAUAUAUAUAAAUCUUAAUGUUAAAAGCAAAAAAAAAAAGUGAGCAUGUGUUGAAUGGUACAUUUUCCUUGGUGUCAUUUUGCUAGAGUAUAUUGUCUGAUGAAAUAUUACUAAGAUAUAAUGUCUCCAUUUUUGGGUGAUGUAUAAACAAAUCCUGCUCAGCAGGGCUGUUUCUAUAUUUUUGUUUCUAUGUUUUUUGUCUCCUCCAGGAGACAGAAGAAAUUAAAAAACAGGUCUUCCUAAGGAAUUUCAUUUGCAUGUGGCAACUGAUGUCCCCCACUGCAACAACCCCAACCUUUGCCCCAACAGAAUUUCAUCAGUGCAUAAUAUUUAAUCAUACAAAGUUAGAAAAAUAAAUGCUACAGACUGCACUGACAUAGACCUAGGUCACUGCAUUCAUGAUUUCACUGGUGCCAUGGUUUGAUGGUUUUUCACAUCAGUGGAUCAGUAUUCCACUACAACAUCAUGUAGCGCACUGGGAGUUAAAGAGUUGAUGUUGCAAUUCUGUGCACUGUUGGUAUUUCCAGUCUCCUCGUCUCAGAAGAGAAUACUGAGCUGAACUACAACUCCCAGAAGCCUUCAUUUUUCCAUUUUCAUUUGGAGGGUAAGAGAAAACUGACUGGGACUCAUGAGACCUUUCUCUUUGCUCCUUGGCAGUUUUGCCUACAGUAUGGACUUCGGUUUCAGAAACUCUCAUUUCAUUUGAUUUAUUAACUUCAAUUCCAAUCAUACUGUACUACAUUGCGUUAUCUCACAUUCCAUUACUGUAUUUAAUAAAUCAAGUUUUUCCUUAGGCCAUUGCUGCCAAAUCUAACAACAGGCCUACAUCUUUUCAAGUUGUUAUCUACCCCAGUUUAGCUGUGAGAGCUAAACCCUAUCUGAAGUUUGCAGUCCUCAUGAUUGUCCUGCAGUCCUGUUCCCAUGAGAAGAUACCGAAGUUUAAAGAAGGGAACACAAUAAUAUAAUCCAAAUGAGAAACAAGACAAAGGAAAAUUAGAAUAUGUAGUACAUACAAUAGUUUAGGAUGGCAUAAUAUUUAUAUUUCAGUUAAAAUACAUGAACUAGUUUCCCAACAAAAUAAUUCUACACUUUAUUUUUCCCGGAAUAUGAAAACUCAGGGAGGAAUGUUCCAUUGCUCCAAUGACAUUUUCUGGAACCAAGAAUUAAAAACAAGCAAAAAAAACACAUUAGAAAAGUAUGUAUAUGCAUCCAUGGAAAUUUCUAUUUCUAUUUAAAUAUUUUUUAAGUCAAAGCUUUCUUCAAAAUUCUGAACUAAUACAUUAUACAAAGUUAUUUAUUAUAUCUAACCUCUCCUUUUAUUAAUAGUUCUUGCAGCCACCAAAAAUGACAGCUCACCAUCAUCAGCUCUUCUGUUGCUAUAAUCUUGCUCUCUCAAAACCCACUGCCCACUAAACCCCUUAUUUUAAACAUGUUUUUAAAGCAUAUAAACAUUUGUGAGGCUCAAUUUAAGGAAUGACUGCACAGUAAAUACGAUUUUCUUUGCAUCUUUCCCAGGAACUGACCUUUUGACAACUCCCCCCUGCCUCCCUUUCAGUCAUGGUAUCUGUCAUCUGUCUCACCUGUACAAUCCUGCAAUAUGGAGUAGAAGCAGUCUUGCUAGCUAUGCUGGCUGUAGGAACAUAGCUACCGAUUCUGAACAGCCGUUUUGCAAGGUGGCCUCUUAAAUUAUCAUAAGCUUGACAGGAUAUUGAAAUUCAUGCUUAUUUAACUAUUAAGUAUUUACAAAAUGACUUAAAGUUGGGAGUGUUUAUUUAGUAGGUCUGUGAUUCUGAUUUUAGAUUUCUAACUAGAUCAAUAUACACAGCUAGAACUGAAUUAACUUGUUUUGGCGACUUGUAUAGCGACAGCUGCAAAGCAUUGGAGCCACCAACUGUUCAAACAUAGCAACAGCUAGCUAGCAUCUUUCCCAGAGCAGUUUAUAUGAAGCAUAAAGUAAGUUCUGUCACCAACUUUCUUAUCUCACUUAACACACAUUGUAACAGUCAUCCUAUUAACAUUCUGUAAACUUUGUAUUUGAUCAAAUAAAGAUCGUUAUUUACUUCCUAAUAUUGUAUUUAUACCUCUAAUGACAUGAACUUAACUUAAAAGUUCUUGCAGACGAGGUCUUUUCCCUAGGUGCUCCAUCAGUGGUUCAGGCCAUGACUCAACAGUUCCCAUACACUCUGUUUAGCAAGUGAUUCUUUCCUGAUUUUCUGAUUUUCCUCCAUUUCCUGAUAUUUGUAGCAGAUACUACACAGGAAAGCAUUUUUCUAGCCAUCCUAUUCUCAGCCAUAUACUGUAAAGAGACAUUAGGUUUUGUGCAUUAGUAUCAUUCCCAUGUGCAUAUAUUUACACAUUACAGAUACAACAGAUACACAUUAUCUAUACACAGACACAGUAAAAAAAAAGUGCAUAACUAGGAGAACAAGAGGCACCUGAAAAGAAAGACCACUUCCUGAAGCUUGAAGAACCUCAGGUAGCUCCUGGCUUGCUUAUAUAAUUUAUCAACUCCCAUUAAGGAUGAAGAUGGUAGCACCAACAUUUAGUAGUUUCCCUGAUUUGGAGCUAACUGAAGGUGACCUUUCUUAGAUGUACUCAAGUUUAGAAACAGGUUUCCUGAUACCUAUUACAAAAUAUUAAGUCAGAAGAUUCUCUCCAGCUUGGUAUCAAGAAGUCAGAAGAAUCUUAGGCAAAAUAAUAAUGGCAGCCCACAUCUCCUUACACUAGAAAAGGGAUCUCAUAACCUAUAACCUUGAAAACUUGCUCAUCAUAUAUUGUUGUGUAGGUUCUACAUAUUAAGACAAAAACUCCUGAUGAAAGUACUGGACAAUAAGAUUGGAACAUGACAAUUCAGCAGGCCAGAAGUAAAAGUAUCUAUAAAAUGUUCCAUCCGAAGGAUGGCCAAAGCUUAGAAGUAACUGUGCUAUUAAAUAAAAUUAGGUCAAUUAAAAUAAACAUUAUCUUCAUCUUUUUCAGUUUAUCAUCAUGAUGCAUCCAGAUUAAACUCUAUUUUUGGAAAUAUCUCAUACUAAAAAAAACAAAUAACCUGUUCUGCAAAAGUCUUGAAUGUUUAAUCUGUCAAUUCAUAUCUACGUUUCUUGAUGUUAAUUUCUGAUAUCCUUAGACAAAUCAGCUGGGAAGAUCAGACACUCCAAGGGCAUUUGGGUUGGAUUUGUUAUGAUUUUAUUUCAUCAGGCUGCACAAUGAACAAAGCUUCCAAGUCUAAAGACCUAACAUUCCUCUUCUUAUGUACUCUUCAUCAAAACAUAAAAAUCAUCCUUUUACUUAUCUCUGUCAACAUUCCCUUACCCAAGGUAUUUUCUCAAGGUUACGCAUUACUGGGAACAGUGAACUUCUGGAUCAAAAUUUGACUGGAUUAUCUGCCAUAAUCAUUUUCCCCUUUUUUUUCCCCCCUUACUGUAACUUUUACUGUUAUGAAAGUACAAUACAGGCUGUACAGAGAGACCUAGACAUCAGUUGUGUCUUUGCUAAGGCCCAAAGUGAACAGAUGAGGAUCUGAGAUCAGUAGAGACUGAGCAUACUCAAGAUCUCUCAUCAGUGAAUGAGAGAGAGAAGCAGCUAACUGCUGUUCUGGGUGUUCAAAUCUCAUGGGAGAAGCAUCCAAUGAUAAAUGCACCAGUUCCACAGGUUAGUGAGGAUGAGCACAUGCAGUGUAACCGCAAUGAAACAAGGUGAUAUUGCUGUCCUAUGGAGAUGGCACUCUGGCAUCUUUAAUGAAUCACGCAUGAGCUGAAGUUCCAGCCUGCUGAGGUGUUAUGUGAGCGACCUAGUUCUCUGGUACUCAGGAAAAAGAAAGACAACCAUAAAAAAUAAAUUUGAGGUGAAGUGGGUGAGCAGACUUUGAAAAGUCACACUUCCAAGGCUUGUUUUUAUCACAGUGGCAAUGACCAUUUAAUCUCAAGAAGUGUUUCUGCCACAGCAGUGCCUUACCUCUGUGCAAAAUUCUGUAACAGUACCACUAGCAGGCACCGGUGGAAGCCCUAACAAAUAUCAUUUGUCACAACAGUUUUAAGGGUGAAUGAUGUGUAAUUUUCUGUUCUGGACACAAAGCAAAACUUACCAAGUUUCUCACUGUUGCCACUUCUGGAAGCCAAUACCACCACACGAAGAACAGUUGGUUAUUUUAAUUCUCAGCUUAAUUUCAUCCAACUUCCAUGGUCUAUUCCUUUUAGCAUGUAUAUGUCAUUCAUGAUAAUCAAACAUCCUGUUGGCUCCCCAGCUUCUUCUAGAAGGACAUAUGGUAAAACAUAACAUCCUAUUAAUCUGCAGAUUUUUAAAAGUAAUUCCCAAUGUGCUACAGCUUCCUUAUCCAAAGAGGAACAAAUCUACAAAUCAACAUAUGUUCCAAACUUUGAAUUCUUCAGUACUAGAGAAGCACUCAUCAAGUAGAACUACAAAGACUGUUUUCUCUUAAGAAUAGCUUCUUUCCUCCUAAUUUAAAAAAUAUGAGGGCUGCUCCAGAAGUAAUGCCUCUUAUUCUAUUACACUGGCCCACAACACCAGAGGUAGAUGCUGGUGGUAUGGGAGCAGAGGUUGAAUCUUCCCAAGAACAUUCAUUGCAUCUUGUUGCCAUGUGACAGAUGGCAGCAGAAAGGAAGUCUGUAACAAACAUGUGGAACAGAAUUCCUCCAUGUGGAAAAAUCAGCACCUAGUGACGUUUACCAACACUUGUCAAGCAUUAAUGGAGACCAGUCAGAUGGUGGGUGGUAUGUUUCAGCAAGGACACUGUCACAGCAGCUGUGAAACAGUAAUUUACCUCCAGUGGUGCAGAUUUUUUAAGAGCACGGCACACAGGCUCUUGUUCCUCACUGGCAAAAACACAUAGCUAGCAGUGGUGACUAUGUUGAAAAAUAGUGUUUUGCAACUGAAAGUUUGCUCUAUCAAAUGCACUAUUAUGUUCUUUGUAUCUGUUCUUUCCACAGAAAUAAAAGGCAUUACUAUUGGAGCAACCUCUGUACAUUAAUGGGAGUGAUUACUUUUAAACAUAACUCCAUGAAGCUUCGAGAUCCAUCAUUUACCCAAAUGUCAGUAUUGAUUGCCUUGGUACAUACAUUUUUGUUCAUAGCUUCUACAGACUAUUUCCUCAGGUAACCAUUCCCACAUCAGAGCAUGAAGUACAUCCAUCAAGGCCACAGAUGUUGCUUGAGCUGGGGAGGGAAUUAUGCUGGUAGAUGAGGGGUAUACCUCAGAUUCCAGUUUGUGUCCAGGUAUGUUGACAAGUACUACACUGAAGCAACCCAGAGAAGCAUCUAAUCAGUAUAUGGGUUACAGUGGGCUACGCUGCCAGGAAAAGGCUGUAAGACUCACAAAGUUGUUUCAGUACAGAAUAGUCAUCUUCAGUUGGAAUCCAGGAGAGACUUCAUUCUCCAAGGCUCUGAGCAUUCUUUAACCUUCUUUAACCAUUAUUUUCAACUUCCAUAACAAAAAGUUAUUGUUACUGACUUAUGUGAAUUAGGGAAGUAACUUGAAUUAUUGACCUGUAGUGACUUACAGUGUUUAAGAGAAUCAAAAGGAAAAACUAUUUUAAUUCAAUAUGUAACAUUUUAUGUUUUUAUUCUCUUUAAAGAGAAACAAGCCCCCAAAGCCUCUGUAUAUAGUAUGUGAACAGAGCAAGACUAGAUACCUUUGAGAAGCCUAAACACUUUUCCACACAUUCAGUACUUAAUGCAAAGGUAUAAUGUUAAGAAUUAACAAUAGUCCACCAAUCCAGCAAAGAAAGCUCUGAAGACUUUUUUUCCACCCUUCCUGUUUCCCUGCACUAAAAUCAUAGAACAAAGAAAAAAACCUGAGUUCAGUGUUUACAAAACUAGGCUUGCGAUACAUACAAUUUCUGCAGCAUUAUGGAGAUCCAGAGGAGGAAAAACACUUAUCAAUCCAAACUGUCCAACACUUCAGUGAAGAAAGCUUAGUCUUAACAUCACCUACCUGUAGCUUCCAUUUCAAUAAUUAUCUUUCUUCCCUUUCAUUCUCUCCCCUACUCUACCACUAAGUUUUUUCUUCUAUCCAUCUCAACCUUCUCUCAUAUUUGGAUAUAGUUUAUUCACACAAAUGUGAUAUGAAUAAAUCUAUUUUACUCUUCUAAACCACAAGGACAGUACCUCUAUGAGUCCACAUAUAACUGUUUUUUUUUUUCUACUGACUGGGCACUUUAUUACCGGCUUAAUUUAAAUAAUCAGAUCUUAAAAAAAAAAAGACAGAAAUAACUCGAGUAGUAGAUACAAGAAGUGAGCAUCUGUUGUCAAAGUCAUUGGCACAAUCCUUAGACACGAGUUGCUAGGAAAUUAAAGGUAAAAUGAAACAUCCUAAUUGAAAACAGCCUCAAACAGGAGCUGACUCAGGCCUGGGCAGCCAAAGUGUUUUCACUGAUCUGUGCAGACAACCUGUAUUUUAGAUUGCUCAUGAAUUCUCACGGAGCAAAACCUGCAUUCACUAUCCUGAUGAAGCAGCCUCUUAAAUGCUGGUCAUCAGGAUGUAUUCAGUUUUACCAUUUGAUUUCACCUGGGAUACCUGUUUUCUGUAAACGGAUAUGCAAACAGGAAGAAAAGGAAAGGACUACUUUACUUACCCAGGCAUCCAGAUAUUAAAGCAUACAGACCAAGAAGACUAGAACCAAUCUUUCUUUAUUUUCCCUCUCAGAAUCUCCAGUCCAUUUCUUAGGAGCAUUUCCAAGCUCAAGAGGCUGACUGUUCAAAACACUCCAAAGACCUCUAGUAUGUUUGCUGCUCAUGACAACUCUUGAAAUUCUCUCUACAUUUAUUCUUACAAGUAUGUCAGCAAGCUUAUUUGAGCUAAGACCUAGUCAGUUCUUACAGCAUACUCACCUGCACAGAAAUCCCAUCCAACACUUUCAGAAACACUCACAGACCAUUACUGCAAGAGCAGGGCUGUAUUUCUACUGCAAGGAACUGACAGAUUCAAGGAGCACACACUUUGUGACAUACAGAAGAAUGCUAACAACUUUCAGACUGGAAUCACCUUAUGAACUGAGUAGUUCGGAGUGCAAAACUUGUGCAAAAGGAACUUCAGCAUCCUGAGCGAUAUCAUACUGCAACAGGAACUUCCAGCAUUGUUAUGCGAUGGUUGAAAGGGGGCACAAAGUACUAAGAGAGAUCUUCUUGCCACGUAUCUUGAGAACGUAAUUUUAACAACUUUGAAGAGAUUUCAUGAAUUGCAGAAGAGACAUGUAUGCAUAUUCAUGACUUGCUUACAUACUUUAUCUGAUAAUUCUGAUGCACACAAAAACACACGGCAAAACUGGGAGCAGAACCUUGCUUAUUAUCCUAUGUAGUAAAAGGAAUUAUUUAAACUAACACCAACUACACAGCUCCAUCUCACCUACAAUUUCCAGUAACGCAAUUUAGGUAUCAGUCACUGUUUUUGUGUUUUCAAAAGCUUUUGCUAGACAACAGCUUUUUAUCUAGAGACUGGUAAUCCACUGACAAGCAGAACAAUCUUAAGACACUGCUACUCUUAGCAAUUUGAAUAUCUUUUAUUCCACACAUUUUCCAAGUCAUUUUUUUUUACUAAACCUUUUAUUUUCAUGUUUUUAGUGCACUAAUAGAGGUAGUCUGAUGAGCCUCCUAGCAGUGUCCAUUCCUAUAUUAACUAGAGAAUGAGACACUUGGAAACAAGAAAUGCCUCUCUUCAAGAUGCAUUUAAUCUUCAAGAGAAAAAAACAAACAACUGGAAAGACAAAAAAACCUAAGCCUGAAGAGCUUGAUAGGAUUCACUGUGUAGAUAUUUUCAAGUAUUUAGAACCUUUCAAUUUCUAUUCCAUUUAUUUUACAACUGGGGAAUAAAGGUUGAUUUCUCCUCAAAAAGUACAGGUCUUUACAUAUUCAGAGGGGUGGGGGAAGAUGAGCAGGAAAGAGAUGUACAUAUCAAAACACAACUAACUGAUGACUCAGUACUUUUAAGUGUUUGUGUUCUAUAGCUCUGCAGAGACAACACAUAAAAAAACCGGAGAAGUGACUAGAAAAGAGUACUAAGCUGGAACAUGCUAGAUUUCUUUUCUAGAGCAGGGAAGAGUACUGUCAUAAACAAUCUUAAAAGAUGUAGGUAUCUGAAUCUAUCCAAACUGCUAACGUGCCCCACAGCAGGCCAGUUGUUCUAGCAUUCUUGUCAGUUACAGCAGCAUACAAAGCGUAGAGAAUUAUUAUUAAGUAACCCCAGUUACAGUAGCCUUCUGCCUCAACUGAGCUUUCUAGCUCUUCUUCCUUUUCCCUAUCCAUUCCUGUUUUUAUCUCCCCUCCCUGGAAUGCCAGCUAUGAACAUCACAGUUUUUCCCACAGAAAACAGGUCUGUAUACUUUUACCCUAAGUAGAGCAUGACCAACCACAACUUAUCUGCAGGUCUGAAUCUCUUUACAAACUCAUGAGAGCACACACUUUUCAAAGUGACUAAGUAACUACAGUAUACAAGGGCUAGCACUGAAGUGUUUAUCACAGGCUACUUUUUGAAUUCUCAAACAUUACUUUAUUAAUAAUAUGGUUCAGACUAUGUACUAGCAAGCACUAAUGAGCUAGCUCACCUGGCAGUAAUUAAAGCCAGUCUGAACCCCAGAUAUGCACUGAACACUCAUCUCCAAAACAAGCUUUUCUUCCAUUAAGUCUUAUCUAGAGCCAUUUACCAAGCUUGUGAAACAAACCACACAUUAGGAUGGUGGCUAUCUAUAAGAACCAUUAUGAACAACUAAUUUUUAAUCAACCAUGGACAAAUGCCUUCCCUCAAUUUCAGUUUAGUCCCAAAAAUCUGGCAAUUUCUGAUGGUUGAUUUGGUUGAUUAUGACCAGAAAUGUUGAUCUUUUGUAUCACAAAAAAAUAUUAGGACUACCCAAAUUACAGCUGUUUGCAUUUAAAGCUUUGAGUAGUUUGCUAUGCAUUUAUAGAACCUGAACCAGACUCUAACAAGUCUGAAGAUGCCAGCAUGUGGCUAUAACCAAGCACUCUGUAUUUGGAUAGUUACACCUAAACUACUUGUACAUCAUAUCACCCUAACAAUUUAAGUGUAAUAAAAAAAACAACACCCAACGCCAAGAAAACAGACUUCAUGAAUUCAACUGUUCUUUCAUUAAAUGAUUUGGGUAAGCUACAGAAUAUUAAGUUUUCUUUAACAGUAAGAACAAAACUUUGUCAGAAAAAUAGAGAAUUUAAAAUAACUGAGAGAAGAUUAAUUUUACAACUCUCUAUCUCUACUCGCUGGGCCAGUACUUGAGACCCCUCCAUCCAGGAAUCCUACUGGUGUAGCUAUUAGCAUCCUUUUAUUAAAUCACCCCAUUUACCCACCAUUUUCUGUCUGCCUUCUGCAUUUCAAAAUCUCCUUCUGAAACAUGAAGAGCUUCAGAACUUGCAGCAUAGGAUGAUGUUAGGGUGAGAACUCAUUUCCAGUGUCACCUGUGUUAGACAUUAGCAGGCAGUCUCCACUCCCCCCACAUUUACCAAACCAAGUAAAGGUAGACAGGUACCUACUAACAUUGCUACACUGAAGUAGAGUAAGAGCCAACAGAUGAGUCAUCAGGAAGGCACAAGAAGGAUGUACUGAGAAGACUAGAGAAGAAUCUCAGAGACAUUUAGUUCUUUUCACAAUACCUUCUCAUCUAGACCUCAUUCUAAAUAAUAAAGUAAUAAUAAUCAAAAAAGCCAAUGGCCAGAGACCAAAUCAUUUUUUUUUAAGUGUAAUGCUAUGAUGAAGAGUCAAGACAUGACACAGUCCACUGCUUUAUGAUCAACUGCUUUAUCUUCUGUACCAGUGACAGUUCUGUAUUUUAUAUGGUGAAUGAUACUUGUAUCAACUACUCUGAAGCUACUAAACAUGAGUAAAGGAGAAAACUGCAGGAGUAAGUUCUAGUCUAAUGAUGGAAGGUGGUACAGAAAGAUUUCAAGAAAUCUGUGGGUACUAAAACAGAGUUUAAGACACCACUUAUAAACUACCAAAAAUGAUGUACUUUAAAGAUGAGAAUUGGUGAAAAGCAGAACAUCAAGUAUUGCAUGCAGUUUCUCAUGAUAAUGUCAGCUAUGCAGAACUCCCAUGGUGCCACACCAGGGGACAUCCCCAUCUAGUCUUAUGCACAUUUACUGCCUAUGAACUAGCUAUUACUCAAAAUGUCUGCUCCUGACAGUCAUCUCACUAGUAGCUUUGAUAUUUGAAAGUCAACACAAGUCAGAUCUAAAGAACUGAGCUGUUUGUC